GUAGGGUGCAAGCGUUAAUCGGAAUUACUGGGCGUAAAGCGUGCGCAGGCGGUUGUGCAAGACAGAUGUGAAAUCCCCGGGCUCAACCUGGGAAUUGCAUUUGUGACUGUACGGCUAGAGUGUGUCAGAGGGGGGUAGAAUUCCACGUGUAGCAGUGAAAUGCGUAGAGAUGUGGAGGAAUACCGAUGGCGAAGGCAGCCCCCUGGGAUAACACUGACGCUCAUGCACGAAAGCGUGGGGAGCAAACAGGAUUAGAUACCCUGGUAGUCCCACGCCCUAAACGAUGUCAACUAGUUGUCGGGUCUUAAUUGACUUGGUAACGCAGCUAACGCGUGAAGUUGACCGCCUGGGAGUACGGUCGCAAGAUUA
rnacentral:rRNA from 1 species